rnacentral:rRNA from 1 species
GUGCCAGCAGCCGCGGUAAUACGAAGGUGGCAAGCGUUAUCCGGAUUGAUUGGGCGUAAAGCGUCCGCAGAUGGUUUGAUAAGUCGUGGGUCAAAUCUUGAAGCUCAACUUCAAGGCUGCUCACGAAACUAUCAUUCUAGAGACUGGAAGAGGCAAGCGGAAUUACCGGUGUAGCGGUAAAAUGCGUUAAUAUCGGUAAGAACACCAAAAGCGAAAGCAGCUUGCUGGUACAGUUCUGACAUUAAGGGACGAAAGCGUGGGGAGCGAAUGGGAUUAGAUACCCCAGUAGUCC